rnacentral:rRNA from 1 species
AGAGUUUGAUCAUGGCUCAGAGCGAACGCUGGCGGCAGGCUUAACACAUGCAAGUCGAACGGACCCUUCGGGGUUAGUGGCGGACGGGUGAGUAACACGUGGGAACGUGCCUUUAGGUUCGGAACAACACAGGGAAACUUGUGCUAAUACCGGAUGUGCCCUUCGGGGGAAAGAUUUAUCGCCUUUAGAGCGGCCCGCGUCUGAUUAGCUUGUUGGUGAGGUAAAGGCUCACCAAGGCUACGAUCAGUAGCUGGUCUGAGAGGAUGGCCAGCCACAUUGGGACUGAGACACGGCCCAAACUCCUACGGGAGGCAGCAGUGGGGAAUCUUGCGCAAUGGGCGAAAGUCUGACGCAGCCAUGCCGCGUGGAUGAUGAAGGUCUUAGGAUUGUAAAAUCCUUUCAGCGGGGACGAUAAUGACGGUACCCGCAGAAGAAGCCCCGGCUAACUUCGUGCCAGCAGCCGCGGUAAUACGAAGGGGGCUAGCGUUGCUCGGAUUUACUGGGCGUAAAGGGCGCGUAGGCGGACAGUUAAGUUGGGGGUGAAAGCCCGGGGCUCAACCUCGGAAUUGCCUUCAAUACUGGUUGUCUUGAGUGUGAGAGAGGUGUGUGGAACUCCGAGUGUAGAGGUGAAAUUCGUAGAUAUUCGGAAGAACACCAGUGGCGAAGGCGACACACUGGCUCACUACUGACGCUGAGGCGCGAAAGCGUGGGGAGCAAACAGGAUUAGAUACCCUAGUAGUCC